rnacentral:rRNA from 1 species
CUGGCGGCGUGUCUAACACAUGCAAGUCGAACGAGAAAGUGGAGCAAUCCAUGAGUAAAGUGGCGACCGGGUGAGUAACACGUGACUAACCUACCUCCGAGUGGGGAAUAACUCCGGGAAACCGGGGCUAAUACCGCAUAACAUCGCAAGAUCAAAGCAGCAAUGCGCUUGGAGAGGGGGUCGCGGCUGAUUAGCUCGUUGGCGGGGUAACGGCCCACCAAGGCGAAGAUCGGUAUCCGGCCUGAGAGGGCGCACGGACACACUGGAACUGAAACACGGUCCAGACUCCUACGGGAGGCAGCAGUGGGGAAUUUUGCGCAAUGGGGGAAACCCUGACGCAGCAACGCCGCGUGGAGGAUGAAGCCCUUUGGGGCGUAAACUCCUUUCGACUCGGACGAUAAUGACGGUACGAGUGGAAGAAGCACCGGCUAACUCUGUGCCAGCAGCCGCGGUAAUACAGAGGGUGCGAGCGU